rnacentral:misc_RNA from 1 species
AAGAAAAAGACUAUAUAAACCCUAAUAAUACUUUAUUUGGUCUAUAUGCUAUUGCACAAAGGUUUAAAUUGUUUUAAACUUCUACCUGGUAAUGUGCAAAGGAAUUAGGUGAAACAGCCAUCCAAUCAUGUAAAUGUGAAACAUACAUUUUAUGUUCUUGUACUUGCAGGAUACACUGAAUUGUUUAGCAAUAACAAGAACAGGUUUCAUCAAUAUGCGACACUCUUUCAAUGCUUUAUAACAACAUAAAGAAACAAUUGUGUGUGGUACACUGCACCGUAAAACUGAAAUGUUGAACAAAUGCCACAAAAUCACAAGAUUAUCGUGUUUUUGCGAGAGAGGCUCUAAGGCUAGGCAUAUUCUAGAGUGCCUCAAGUGUUCUUUGCUUAGUUCGUUUUUAACAACGAUACCUGUUGAAAAAUUGACCGAGCAACACAUGCACACAAAUUAGAUACGAUCACAGAGAAGGGGAAGAAACACCACACAAGGAAUUUUAGGUGAUUCAGCUAUGUGUCUGCAUCCAUGGAGAGCCACCUCUAAUUUUUUUCAAUAUAAAGGAGAAAUUGAAAGUGCCUGUUAACAUAGUUGGUAGAGUUUUCCUUUUACAAGAAGGAAUAGGAGAAACUCACAAUUACAAAAAUAUCCCUUAUAAUUAGAAUCGCCCUAGACUAGCUGAGAUGUAACAUACUGUAACACUCCUCACCUGUCUAUAGUGUAGUCGAGCAAGGUGCGCUACAUUUGGUGCCGGAGCACCCUAU